AUGGACAAAGCACAAAGUGACGCAUCUGAGACAACCUCCAAACCUCGACGCAAGACUAAUCUGCCUACACAUCUGGAUGAUUAUGAUGUUGGCUACCAACCUUCAAGUGACCCUCCUCCAAAAGCUUCCUCUCAUUGUCCUAGUCAGCCCCGAAGCAGCUCGAGGAAAACGUCACACAGUGGUGUCAGCUCUCACUCCAGGACAAGUAGGCGUUCCAUUACUUCAGCUGGCGUCUAUGUCCCACCAGAGCUCUCUAGCGUCCAGACUGCUAUGUUGGAGGAGAAGAUUAAACAGAGACAGUAUGACAGUCUACGGCAGCAAGUAGAAGAGGACUCACUGAUUGAUCUGGAACACCAAAGACUGCAGGCACAAGCGAAAGAAGCCCAGUGUAUGCAAGAGGAGGCGCUUGCCGCAAAGGUGGCCUUGUCGAAACACCUAGAACGACAGCGUAAGCUUCAACAAGCAGAGACUGAACUUGAAGUAGCUAAGCUUGUAUCCCCCAUGCUCUCUAUGGACUCUGGUACGACCACUCCAGUUCCCCCAGACUCUGGUUCUCCAAACACGCAACAGCUUGCAAUGCAGCUCAACCAGGCUUGUUCACCUCAGCUCACUUCUUCCAAGCCUCAGCAGCCCCCCUUCCAGUCACCAGGUGUAACAUCAUCGCUGCUGCCAUGUCCUACUGAACUGCCUGAUCCUGAUGUCUCUGCAGUUUCCCUGCCAUCACCUAGACCGCCACAGUGGGCCCCACCUGUUACUUACUCUGCGGGUACGCCCUUGCCUGCCGCACUCCACCCAGGGCCACAAGCAUUCUCACCGCCAGUCCCUGACAUCGCACAAUCUGCCCAUACUGCCGUUCCAGUACACUCUGUAUCAUUAACAUCGAAUGUGGCACCUCAGCCUCCAACAGUGUACACCAUCCCGACAUCGGCUGCAUACCAGCGCGUGACCCAGCAACCUGUUACUGCCACACUACCUACCCUUGGCUACGGGCUACAACAGACAGCAACAAUGCCAGUGAAAACACUCCCAGUGCCAUCGCAGCUCCCUGUCUCCAGCCACCAAGCAUCGGCGAUGACACUUCAUGCUCCUGGUUACGUUCAAGCAGAUUCAUCUGUGCCUUUCCCCCCAGCUGUCUACUCACCUCACCCGAGUCCAGAGCUCCUGUUUGCAUCAGCCUAUGGCAUUCCACGACCCACAUUACCAGUUUUUGAAACUGGUGCUGAGAGUGACUUUGCAUUGUUUAAGUUAGCAUUGGACAAUUUGUUGAGUAAUCAUAAUCAUAUCAGUGAACAGUAUAAAUACCAUGUUCUACUAAGCCAUUUGAAACUUUCCGGUGCUCAUCAGCUAGCUAAAUCCUUCAUGUACCACCCCCAGCCUUACACUGCUGCUCUGCAGGCACUUCAAGACAAGUAUGGACAGCCAAGACAGCUCGUUCAGUCCGAGUUGGGUGCCAUCCUAAGCACCCCGCCUCUUAAGUUGGGUGAUGCUAAUGCCUUUGAUUCAUUUGCAUUGUCAGUACAAUCCUUAGUGGGUAUGCUAAGAACUCUUGAGGGCCAGAAUGGUUAUGAGCUUUUGAGUGGCUCACAUGUGGACCAUCUCUUGAGUAAACUGCCACCAGCCUAUCGUGACAGUUUUGUUGAAUACUGUUUGAAUCGGGGUAUUCUCCAAACGGGCACAGACAAGACCUACACACUUCCUGAUUUUGCAGACUGGCCCCAGAUAAAGUCCCAAGCAAAACGGAUAUCCAGCAGAGCCGCGGCUAUGUUCCAGAGUGAGACUCCAAAGGCCCCUGGUAGAGCUAGAGGAGCACCUCAUCCCAGGGAGCAGCCAAGGCCAGUUCUCCUGACACGGGAGAGUACAACCAAGACUCCUGAGCUGACAGCACCUAAAUUGAGCUUCAAGCCCAAGCCAUACUGUCCGCAUUGUGACAACAGGGAACACUAUCUCAACUCUUGUGAGGCUUUCAAGAAGUUGACUACCUCCCAGAUUGUAGCUUGGAUUAAAGAGAGUAAACGCUGCUGGAGAUGCGGACGCUUCCAUGCUGUAGAGUCUUGCAACCUCAAAUGUCCAUGUAAAAUCUGUAAAGAGCUACAUCUCACAGUUCUUCACGAUUCUAUCAAAGACACCACCAGUGCUGUCCUCACCGUCAGCCUUCCAUCCACCCGGGUUUACUUGGACAGACCAAACCGUACACCCAGAGUCAUGCUGAAGGUCGUCAAGGUCCUCCUCCAUAAUGGACACCACACAAUGGAGGCACAUGCCGUUCUCGAUGAUGGGUCAGAGAGAACACUCGUGCUUUCCCCAGUCGUGCAGCAGCUCAAGCUUACCUGUACCCCAGAGUUACUGCAUUUACAGACUGUUCGACAAUCUCACACAGAACUUGAUGGGUCGUCUGUUUCCUUUGAGGUCUCAUCAGUCACCAAACCUAUGCAGAGGUUCACUAUUCCCAAUGCCUUUACUGCAACCGGUUUGAGCCUGGCAGAACAUAACUACCCAGUGGCUGCGCUUCAACGAGCUUAUCGUCAUCUGAGAGCUCUUCCUCUUCCCCCUGUUGACAGAGUCAAACCACUACUUCUCAUUGGUUCUGACAUGCCACACCUCCUUAUGCCAAUACAGCCUGUAUGCCGAGGUCCAGACGGGGGUCCAAUAGCCAUCAGAACACAGCUGGGAUGGUCUCUUCAAGGUCCCAUGAGCCCCAAGCAGCCCUCACGGUGUUAUCAGCAGUGCCUUCAUAUCACCACCGCUCCGCCACAUGAUGAUCUGAUUCAGCAUGUCGAACGACUCUGGUUGGUCGACACCCUCCCAUACAAUGAGAGAAUGGUCACCAGGUCCAAGCAAGACAAAGAUGCUCUCGCCAUGCUCCAGAACGACACCACUAGAGUGAACAUAGAUGGCGUUCAGCGUUAUGCCACACCUUUGCUCCGAUGCCAGCCCACGACCAUACUCCAUGCCGACAAGGAUGCUGUUCUUCCCAGUCUUCGAAGUACAGAGCGCAGACUGGCACGAGAUCCUGAACUAGCCAAAUCCUACUGCACUGAAAUCCAUAAAUUGGAAUCUGCUGGAUAUGUAGCCAGGAUAACCACAGAAGAAGCACACAAUACUUCAGAGUCCUGGUACAUUCCGCACCAUAUCGUACACCACAAUGGCAAGGACAGGAUCGUCUUUAACUGUUUCUUUCAACAUCAAGGGCAGUCCUUGAACAGUCAGCUACUUCCUGGUCCGAUGCUGGGACCAUCAUUGUUAGGUGUGCUCCUGAGGUUCCGACAACACAGUGUGGCUGUGAGUGGGGACAUAAAGGGUAUGUUCCACCAGGUUCGCUUGCUACCCAAAGACAAACCAGUGUUGCGGUUCAUUUGGAGGAACAUGUGCAGAGACCAGGAACCUGAGAUAUAUGAAUGGCAGGUGCUUCCGUUCGGAACUACAUGCAGCCCAUGUUGUGCCAUCUACGCCCUCCAGCGCAAUGCCCAAGAACACCAGGAUGACCAGGUCAGUCUGGUUGACAUAGUUGAGAAUUCCUUCUAUGUUGAUAACUGCCUGCACAGCACUUCGAACUCUGAUGAAGCUAAGAAGGUAGUCGAUGGACUUCGUCAACAGUUGUCUGAGGGAGGAUUUGAUAUAAGACAAUGGGCCUGCAAUGUACCCUCUGUCAUUGAACAUCUUCCAACAGAAGCCCGGUCUGCUAACAGUGAACUGUGGUUGACCAAAGCCAGUACAGACCUACAAGAACCCACUCUAGGCCUACGGUGGGAUUGUCUCAGUGACACCCUGGGCUAUAAUUUGCGCUCAACUGAACCCCUAGAGCCUACCAUGAGAAACGUGUACAAAACCUUGGCCAGCCAGUAUGUCCCGCUGGGGUAUAUCAUCCAAUUUACCACCCGGGCCAAGGUUCUCAUCCAAGACCUCUGGAAGCAGAAUUUGGGCUGGGACGAUCCGAUAACACCUCUACAGUUAAGAGAGAAGUGGCUAACAUGGAUAAGAGAGAUUCCUAACCUCCUACAGCUGCAAUUCCCUCGACCUUAUGCACCAGCCUGUGCUGAUUACCCUAGUGCCAUCCGAGAACUCCACAUCUUUUGCGAUGCAUCAGAAAGAGCAUACGGCUCAGUGGCCUAUUUGCGCACUACUGAUGAUCAAGGCCACGUCCAUAUCACUUUCAUUUUGGCCAGAUCCAGAGUGGCUCCCAGAAAAUGCCUCUCCAUGCCUCGUUUGGAACUGAGUGCAGCCCUGACCGGUGCUCAGUUAGCCAAAGUGAUCCAAACUGAGUUGUCUCUAAACAUUCAUACAGUCAUCCUCUGGUCCGACUCAACAACCGUGCUGAACUGGCUGACAUCUGAGUCCUGUCGCUACAAGGUAUUUGUAGGGACACGUGUAGCAGAAAUCCAGACCCUCACAGACAAGGCUGAAUGGCGGUAUAUUGAUUCAGCUCACAACCCUGCUGACCACAUCACAAGAGGGCUAACACUGACCCAGCUAGCAAGUCCCCACCAGUGGAGUUCAGGACCAGACUUUCUCCUUCUACCUUCUGACCAGUGGCCAUCUACACCCGUCAUUACGGUAGAACCAGAGGUCAGUGAGUUGAGGAAAACUGCAUUCAUCGGCACUGUCACAGUCUCCAGUCAUUCACUUCUGGACCCCAAUCAAUUCCACACAUGGCUAGAGCUCGUUCAGGCCACUGUCAGGUCCCUACACGGGGCGGCUGCCACAGACAGUGACUCUUCCCUGCAAGCUGACGAUUAUGUAGAAGCAGAGAAACUCAUCCUGGCUCAAGCUCAACAGGACUCAUUCCCACUAGAAGUCCAAGCUCUGAAGACUGGACAGCCGAUUCCAGCUAACAGCCGUUUGGCAUCCCUUGCACCAGAGUAUGAUAAGGACACAGGUCUCAUCAGAGUAGGGGGUCGAUUACGUCGAGCAAAUGACCUUGACCUGGAUGCCAUUCACCCGAUUGUGUUGGAUCCUGGUCAUUCUACAACUAAGCUGUUAAUCAAAGAGACAGACUGCAGACUUCUGCAUCCUGGUUCUGAAAGGGUGCUAGCAGAAUUGCGUCGUCAGUUUUGGAUACUUCGGGGCAGAGAAGCCAUCCGUAAGCAUCAGCGCAAAUGUCAAGAUUGUCAGUUCUGGCGAGCUAAGCCUGAAGUCCCCCAAAUGGCCGAUCUUCCAUCCUGCAGGCUGCAACUUCAACCGCCAUUCUAUUCUACUGGGGUAGAUUGUUUCGGCCCCUUUUCAAUCAAAGUUGGUCGUCGCCACGAAAAAAGAUGGGGCAUCCUCUAUAAAUGCAUGACAACCCGAUGCGUUCACCUUGAUCUGUUGGAACACCUUGACACUGAUGCAUUCCUGCUCUCUCUGCGUCGAUUUAUAGCACGACGAGGUAAGCCCAUGGAAUUGCUCUGCGACAACGGUACCAACUUUGUAGGAGGAGAUCGAGAACUACGUGAGACCUUCGAUGUCAUGGCCCCUAAGCUUCAAGAGCUGCUUGCUCCACAGAAGAUCAGAUUCCGCUACAUUCCACCAAAUGCUCCUCAUUUCGGAGGAACCUGGGAGCAUGAAGUCAAGUCUGUAAAGACUGCACUACGUGUCAUUCUGCGAGAGCAAACGGUGCCAGAGCCAGUGCUGCAGACCUUGUUAGUGGAAGUCGAGGGCAUUCUAAAUGCCAAGCCUCUUGGCUACGUAUCUUCUGAUGUCGCAGACAUAGACCCAGUGACUCCGAACCUACUCCUUAUGGGCCGUCGCGAUGCCUCCCUACCUCAAGUCUUAUUCGACUCUACCAACCUGCUCGGAAGACGCAGAUGGAGACACAGCCAGGUGUUGGCGGAUCAUUUCUGGACUGCCUUCAUCCGAGAUUACCUCCCAAGUUUGCAGGAUCGGCAUAAGUGGAGAAAGGAUGGCCGAGAGCUGACUGUGGGUCAAGUGGUUCUCAUUGUUGAUCCCCAACUUCCUCGUGCCCUCUGGCCUGUAGGUACAGUGACUGAGACGUUGGCUGGACCUGAUGGAAAAAUUUGCACCGCUCGGGUCAGAGUUCAUGGGAAAUCCUACACUCGCCCAGUUGUUAGGUUGAUUCCACUUCCUCACUUUGAGGAAGAGCUUUAG
ensembl:lncRNA